CUUUCUUUCUUUUUACUACUAUAGUUUCUCUUGUUGCAAUUUACUUAUUACAAUUUACUUAUUAGAAGUUCUAUGAUUAUGUAGAAAGCAAGUGAAAAGAAUAAGGAAACUCGAAACAGUCAAACGCUCUUGCACACAGUAGGUUCAAAAAGUUUCGCAAGAAUUCGCAGAGAUAUGGAAAAGGAAUUGAACCGGCCUCCUACAGAUGCAGAAGUGUUUCUAGAGACUCG